UACGGGGGGGGCAAGCGUUGUUCGGAAUUAUUGGGCGUAAAGAGCUCGUAGGCGGCUUGUCACGUCGGGUGUGAAAGCCCGGGGCUUAACCCCGGGUCUGCAUUCGAUACGGGCAGGCUAGAGUGUGGUAGGGGAGAUCGGAAUUCCCGGUGUAGCGGUGAAAUGCGCAGAUAUCAGGAGGAACACCAAUUGCGAAGGCAGCUCGCUGGGACGUUACUGACGCUGAGACGCGAAAGCGUGGGGAGCAAACAGG
rnacentral:rRNA from 1 species